rnacentral:pre_miRNA from 1 species
UCUUAUGGAUGAGCAGAGAAAGUAGUUUCUUAAAAUGGAAUCUAGUCCCAGUGAAGAUGCUGUGAA